UUGGAUCAUCACAGAUUGGUACGCAGACCAUUAAAUACAAUAAAGUGACAACACAUAUGGCUCCUGCCGUGUUGCCGUACGCACGACACGCAGGUCACGAAUGAGUUACACACAUGCAUCACAUACACAAGGGGGCCAUACUGAUCACAAGAUACCCUGCAAAAGAGAGUUAGGCGUCCUAACGUUCCAAACUUCGGAGGCCCGAAACUCCAUCUUCCAAGCCGAAUUUGGCAAAUCUAAUUUCGCCGAAAACGGCAAAGCGGUUGAAAUUCAUGUGUAACUUUUUCUGUAGAUCAAUUUUCGUAUAGAAAUCGCCCCGAUCCGAGAUCGUACCGAAAAGUUACGGCUGAUUUACCGAAGCAUGCGCAUACGGCAAAAUCCCGACCCCGGCAGUAGAUCCUAUCUACUAUUGCACAUCUAAUGCGCCUGGCGUAUGACCCUGGAUCUCGAUUUGACCAAUCAUAUUGAUC
rnacentral:lncRNA from 1 species